GGUGGCUUAAUACAUAAAGCACAUGCCUUCCAUGCAUGAAGCCUUGGGUUCAAGCCCUGGCACCA
rnacentral:tRNA from 1 species